CAGGCCAGUUUCCAUCGCACAUGUGUCCCGCAGCUCCACCGAAAAGGAUCAAGAAAGUCAGGAUUCUAAAUACCAACAGCAUCACUCUGUCAAAACCACCCUUGCAACCUUUCUCAGAAAAGGAAAUGUAAUGACAAGAUGAAAGUUAGCCAGAACGGCCAUGUCCAGAAAAGCUCUCAGUAGUACAGCCAUCUGUCCGAAAUACUCUAACCUACAAGGUGGCCACGGUCUCUUCAGAGGGUCAUGGAGCUCUGCAAAGCUUGUCUUAAAACUGAUUAAGGUUGUUAAACUGAACCAUCUUGACUGGCCCCAGCCAAGUUUCUUACAGUGGAAAUGGCACAUUAACUAUGCAGCUGUCAUGAGAGAAGUCAGUACUCUUAGAUUCUAACCCAAAAGAAUUCAAAUAUAUUGGAUUUCCUCUCCUGUUCAAUUGGAAUUCAAGGACUUAAUCCACUUUUAAUUACACUGUUCCUGUUGUUGCAUCAAAAUAAAGUUCUUGGUGAAGGUUCCGAAGAUGAAGGUGGAGAAAACAAAAAGAGACAGCUGAGAGAGGGGUCAGAACCAGGCAAGGGGACGAAUGAGAGUGAACCUGAGACACUCAAGCUUUAAGGAGAGGAACUGUCUCCAUGAAGGCCCCACAUUUGAGAACACUGGGUAACAGCCUAAGUGGUCUCCUACGGAUUCCUUCUUUUGAGCAGCUUGUUCCUAGCCUGGCAUUCAAUGAACUUGCCACCAACAGAGAAGCAGGGGAUGAGGGCCAAAGAAAGGAGGAGAAGAGCUCUCAGAAUUUCCAAUUAGCACAUUUAAGCAGUGAAAAUGUAUCAGACCUGACCAGAAUACAAUACAUUGUAUGAUUAGGACCACAAUUCCAAUUAGUGGCAGAUACAAAAGCUCAGCUCUCAAUGUGAAAACCAACCAGAAAGGGAAAGAAAAGAAAAAAGAAACUGUUUGCAGAGAACGAGCAGAGAUCUUGGGAAUACCAUCCUCCAUUGAGAGCCAGCCCCUCAAAAGCUCAUUCGUAGGGCUGGGUAAACACACACCUUUUGCACUCUAUUUUUGAAAUUAUGUUCAGGAGUCUACAGACUGUUAUCUGUAGAAGAAGCCACUUUUGAAAUUUUAGUUUAUGUAAAGUGUUCCAAAAUGCAUGAACAGAGUAAUUAUUUUAAAAGUCUAUAAAUGCAUGCAUUUGCUCUAAAAUUUUGUAAUUAUCAGUAGAUUACAAGUUCUCUAUAGGAAGAGAGAGCUGUCUCAUAUUAGUUUUGCACUUAUACCUUUUUUAAUAGUUCUGAACUUCACUCUUGUGUAUUCUUUUAUUUUAAAAGCUAUAAUGACUAAUCCUGAUCUUCUGCUGGAAUAUGUUUAAAUAGGAUUCCAUUAAAAACAAGAGCUAGAAUUCAUGUUUCUUGAGUAAUCUGUCCCUAAAAAGAUGUUCAUUCAUGCAUCUGAUGGCAAUUUGUAAGCUAUUUUAUUCCUUCUGAUAAUUUUAUUUUUUCACAUAUCAAAAUGUAUUGAGUGGCUGACAUGCAACAGAUCUUAGGGAAAACAUGAAAAAAACAGAAUGUUCUCCAGACUCUCAAAGAGCUGGAAUCUAGAAGGAGAGGAAGAAAUGUACACUAAUUGUAACAAAAUUAAGUGAUUUGCCUGUUAAAUAAAUACAAAGAAAGUUCUGUGGAACUUCAGAAGAGAAAGGCAUAUUUUCCUUCAGUAAUCUCAGGAGGGAUUCAUGAAGGGGCUAGCAUACGAGCGGGAUAUUAAGUAAGGAAUGGGAUAAAUUAGGGACAUGGAGCAAAGUCAUUUUAAGCAUUGAGAACAAUGAGCAGAAAACAAGUAGGAUGCUGUGGGAGGUUUGUCUUGUCUGGGUGGAAUAUGAGUACUCAGAGGGCAAUAAUGACAAAUAAGACUGGAAAAAUGAGUUCGUGCCAGAUGGAGAACUUUGAAUGCAGGAGGAAAGAAUCUGGAUUUUCUCUGUAGACACUAGAGAAUUAUUAAAGGAUUUUGAAGAAG
rnacentral:lncRNA from 10 species